UGGUGAGAUCUAAGAUGGACGCCAUCCUUUGUUCUCGCCACGUGUUUGUAUGCCGAAUGGCAGCCACCUAAAAGCACUCAAUUACUUUGCGGUUUCCGUGGUUACUUGGUGUUCUAAGUUCUGAUUGCUACCCAGGGUGGUCUCCAUUCGGUAGAACGAAUAAAUGUCCCGAACACAGAAUUAAAACGAAUGCUUUAAAGACACUUAACUAGCAGGGAAAGGAAAUAACCGAAUGGAUACAGGUAAAUACAGGGAAAUCCUUUACUUUACUUUAUCUUUUUCCUGAUAUUUCUCGCCUCAUAUGAGGUCGUGUAUG